rnacentral:snRNA from 1 species
GUGCUUGCUUCGGCAGCACAUAUACUAAAAUUGGAAUGAUACAGAGAAGAUUAGCAUGGCCCCUGCACAAGGAUGACACGCAAAUUUGUGAAGUGGUCCAUAUUUUU